rnacentral:rRNA from 1 species
CUACGGGUCGCUGCAGUGAGGAAUAUUGCACAAUGGGGGGAACCCUGAUGCAGCAACGCCGCGUGGAGGAUGACGCAUUUCGGUGUGUAAACUCCUUUUAUAUGUCAAGAAAAUGACGGUAGCAUAUGAAUAAGCACCGGCUAACUCCGUGCCAGCAGCCGCGGUAAUACGGAGGGUGCAAGCGUUACUCGGAAUCACUGGGCGUAAAGGACGCGUAGGCGGGUUGGAAAGUCAGGUGUGAAAUCCUACAGCUUAACUGUAGAACUGCACUUGAAACUUCUAAUCUAGAGUAUGGGAGGGGGGAUGGAAUUAGUGGUGUAGGGGUAAAAUCCGUAGAUAUCACUAGGAAUACCUAAAGCGAAGGCGAUCUCCUGGAACAUUACUGACGCUAAGGCGUGAAAGCGUGGGGAGCAAACAGGAUUAGAUACCCGUGUAGUC